rfam:Ictidomys tridecemlineatus contig102252, whole genome shotgun sequence.
GGGGGUGUAGCUCAGUGGUUGAGCGCCUGCCUAGCAUGUGCCCUGGGGCCCUGGGUCUGAUCCCCAACACCACCA